GACAGAGGCCACGAACGUUGUUCGGAAUCACUGGGCAUAAAGCGCACGUAGGCGGCUAGGUCCGUCCGAUGUGAAAGCCCCCCGGCUCAACCGGGGGAAGCGGCGCCGAAACGACCGACCUGGAGGGGGGUAGGGGGACCUGGAACUUCCGGUGGAGCGGUGAAAUGCGUUGAGAUCGGAAGGAACGCCCGUGGCGAAAGCGAGGUCCUGGACCCUUUCUGACGCUGAGACGCGAAAGCCAGGGGAGCGAACGGG
rnacentral:rRNA from 1 species